UACGGGGGGGGGCAAGCGUUGUUCGGAAUUACUGGGCGUAAAGGGCUCGUAGGUGGCCAACUAAGUCAGACGUGAAAUCCCUCGGCUUAACCGGGGAACUGCGUCUGAUACUGGAUGGCUUGAGUUUGGGAGAGGGACGGCGGAAUUCCUGGUGUAGCGGUGAAAUGCGGCAGAAUAUCAGGAGGAACACCGGUGGCGAAGGGCGGGAUUCU
rnacentral:rRNA from 1 species